UAUCGCACGCUGUACUUUGGCUUAUUGUCAUCUUCGAGGGCGGGCUACAGCUAUCCGUCACCCAGCUUGUCGACGUAAUCUGCUAUAACAAUGCAGCGAAGAAUCCCGUAGCAUGAAAUGCCGGCUGUGCUCGGCAUUCUCGUGUCGAACAAUGGACUAAAACACCGUGCAGCUCGUUCUCGCGAAACGGCUGCAUUCCGCUGCCAUCGUAAUCUUAGAUGCAAGAAUUACAUGGCAGAGGAUCUGCUCACCAGAAAGAACUGGUUGGACACUGUUGAGAAGAAUGCUGAAUGCCAAUAGGAUACAUAGCCUGUUAACAACCUCCUGAAUGACUUGACUUGUUGAAAAGAUAAGAGCAAUUUUGUCAUGAAAACCGAUGAUUAGAGACCAGAAGACAAGGCCAACAGUUGUAGAUGUUGCCACAGAGACAAUGGUAGCAAAUCUUGCGCCUUUUCCAUUGCCUGCUCCAAGCUCAUUAGCAACCCGGACUCUUCGUUCUCACCCAAAAGUAAGCAUCAGUGAAUUACGUGAAAUCAGUUUAUAUGUACUACUCUUGCUUCAAAAUGACCAAGUGCUACUUAGCAGGAGGGAGUAAAUAAGAGUUCAGAUCCAAUAUAAAUUAAUGAAGGGACAAAACUGAUUUGUUAAAACACCUUGGAUGCAACUUUCAAACCUAGAGUUGUCUAGUAUGAUAUUAAUGCUUGUAACUAGAUAUUCGGCACUUAAUACUCAUGUGUGCUGUCGUUUGAACUUAUGACUCUCGACAUGAUACCCUGUAGAAUCUGCAACAAGCAAAUCUGAAGCAUGUGAUACCAGGAAAAGAUUGUGCAAUAAUGUUAUUGCUUUAUCUAGGUUCUAGCGUA